rnacentral:rRNA from 1 species
AGAAUGAACGUUGGCGGCGUGGAUUAGGCAUGCAAGUCGCGCGCCCCGCAAGGGGAGCGGCGCAAGGGUGAGUAAGGCGACGGUAACCAACCCCCCGGAUGGGCAUAGCCGCGGGAAACUGCGGGUAAUUCCCAGCGAAGUCACUGACUGGCAUCAGUCUUUGACCAAAGUUCCGGCGCCGGGGGACGGGCCGUCGUGGUAUUAGCUAGUUGGCGGGGUGAUGGCCCACCAAGGCGGCGAUGCCUACCGGGCGUGCGAGCGUGGCCCGGCACACUGGGACUGAGACACUGCCCAGACUCUUACGGGAGGCUGCAGUCGAGAAUCUUCGGCAAUGGGCGCAAGCCUGACCGAGCGACGCCGCGUGGAGGACGAAGGCCUUCGGGUUGUAAACUCCUGUCGAGGGGGAGGAAGCCGCAAGGUUGACCGAUCCCUGGAGGAAGCACGGGCUAAGUUCGCGCCAGCAGCCGC